rnacentral:rRNA from 1 species
AUUGAACGCUGGCGGCAGGCCUAACACAUUCCAGUCGAGCGAGCGGCGGACGGGUGAGUAAUGUAUGGGGACUGCCCGAUAGAGGGGGAUAACUACUGGAAACGGUAGCUAAUACCGCAUACUAUCGGAUAACCCAUAUGGGAUUAGCUAGUAGGUGAGGUAAAGGCUCACCAAGGCAACGAUCCGUAGCUGGUUUGAGAGGACGCACAGCAACACUGGGCUUGAGACACGGCCCAUACUCCUACGGAGGCAGCAUUGGGGAAUUUUGGACAAUGGGGGAAACCCUGAUCCAGCCAUCCCGCGUGUAUGAUGAAGGCCUUCGGGUUGUAAAGUACUUUUGGCAGAGAAGCGGUAUCUGCAGAAUAAGCACCGGCUAACUACGGGCCAGCAGCCGCGGUAAUAC